GGAUGCCCUAUUAAAUGGAAAACACAGAGGAACUGGGAUACACUAUAUUGAAGGAAGAAGAGAGGGUACCGUUCAAGUGUACAAUGAAGCAGUCCAGGUAGCCCUCAACAGAGUAAUGACCUCCAUUUGGGAAGGAGAAAGUUGAACAGAGGGACAGAUGGACAUAGAGAGAAGAGGAUGAUAUGAAGAGACUUGCAGAGAAGAUGGCCAGCUAUAAUCCAAGGAGAGAGCCCUGAAACAGAUCCUUCCCUCACAGACCUUCGAAGAAACCAAUCCUACUGACAUCUUGAGUUUUAACUUCUAGCCCCCAGAACUGUGAGAACGGAUGCCUGAAGAAAGCAAAACAGGUGAUCAGAAGGACGUUUUCACAGACCAGACCCAGAAUGCAGCUUCCGUAUUCACCAUUCUACAAACAACUAGGACCAGAAGUUGGGUGGAUGACAGGCCAACCUGUG